rnacentral:rRNA from 1 species
UACGUAGGGGGCAAGCGUUGUUCGGAAUUACUGGGCGUAAAGGGCUCGUAGGUGGCCAACUAAGUCAGACGUGAAAUCCCUCGGCUUAACCGGGGAACUGCGUCUGAUACUGGAUGGCUUGAGUUUGGGAGAGGGACGCGGAAUUCCAGGUGUAGCGGUGAAAUGCGUAGAUAUCUGGAGGAACACCGGUGGCGAAGGCGGCGUCCUGGACCAACACUGACACUGAGGAGCGAAAGCCAGGGGAGCAAACGGG